rnacentral:rRNA from 1 species
UGCGGAACACGUAACGCAACCUUCCCAAAACUGGUGAAUAGCCUUCCGAAAGGAGGAUUAAUACACCGUAACAUAAUUAAGUGGCAUCACUUGAUUAUUAUAGGUAGCAAUAUCGGUUUUGGAUGGGCGUGCGCCUGAUUAGGUAGUUGGUAGGGUAACGGCCUACCAAGCCUUCGAUCAGUAACUGGUGUGAGAGCACGACCAGUCACACGGGCACUGAGACACGGGCCCGACUCCUACGGGAGGCAGCAGUAAGGAAUAUUGGUCAAUGGACGCAAGUCUGAACCAGCCAUGCCGCGUGAAGGAUGAAGGCCCUCUGGGUUGUAAACUUCUUUUAUCUGGGACGAAAAAAGGGGAUUCUUCCUCACUUGACGGUACCAGAGGAAUAAGC